rnacentral:rRNA from 1 species
AUUGAACGCUGGCGGCAGGCUUAACACAUGCAAGUCGAACGAGUGGCGGACGGGUGAGUAAUGUCUGGGAAUCUACCUUAUGGAGGGGGAUAACUACGGGAAACGGUAGCUAAUACCGCAUACCAUAGGAUGAGCCCAUGUGGGGUUAGCUAGUUGGUGGGGUAAAGGCUCACCAAGGCGACGAUCUCUAGCUGGUCUGAGAGGAUGACCAGCCACACUGGGCGUGAGACACGGCCCGGACUCCUACGGGAGGCAGCAGUGGGGAAUAUUGCACAAUGGGUGCAAGCCUGACGCAGCCAUGCCGCGUGUAGGAAGAAGGCCUUCGGGUUGUAAAGUUCUUUCAGUGGGGAGGCGUUAACUGCAGAAGAAGCACCGGCUAACUCCGUGCCAGCAGCCGCGGUAAUAC